UACGUAGGGUGCAAGCGUUAAUCGGAAUUACUGGGCGUAAAGCGUGCGCAGGCGGUUUGUUAAGACAGAUGUGAAAUCCCCGGGCUUAACCUGGGAACUGCAUUUGUGACUGCACGGCUGGAGUGCGGCAGAGGGGGAUGGAAUUCCGCGUGUAGCAGUGAAAUGCGUAGAUAUGCGGAGGAACACCGAUGGCGAAGGCAAUCCCCUGGGCCUGCACUGACGCUCAUGCACGAAAGCGUGGGGAGCAAACAGG
rnacentral:rRNA from 1 species